rnacentral:rRNA from 1 species
GAUGAACGCUGGCGGCGUGCCUAAUACAUGCAAGUCGAGCGAACAGAUGAGGAGCUUGCUCCUCUGACGUUAGCGGCGGACGGGUGAGUAACACGUGGAUAACCUACCUAUAAGACUGGGAUAACUUCGGGAAACCGGAGCUAAUACCGGAUAAUAUAUUGAACUGCAUGGUUCAAUAGUGAAAGACGGUUUUGCUGUCACUUAUAGAUGGAUCCGCGCCGCAUUAGCUAGUUGGUAAGGUAACGGCUUACCAAGGCAACGAUGCGUAGCCGACCUGAGAGGGUGAUCGGCCACACUGGAACUGAGACACGGUCCAGACUCCUACGGGAGGCAGCAGUAGGGAAUCCUGCGCAAUGGGCGAAAGCCUGACGGAGCAACGCCGCGUGAGUGAUGAAGGUCUUCGGAUCGUAAAACUCUGUUAUUAGGGAAGAACAAAUGUGUAAGUAACUAUGCACGUCUUGACGGUACCUAAUCAGAAAGCCACGGCUAACUACGU